UGACAUCCCCAGCUCCAGACACCUGCUCCAGCGUUUGAAACAGUACAGCGGCGUACCCCUUUAAGAUCUUUCUUUACGUGUCCAACUUCAGAAAAGUGUUUGGACACGGUGACAGGUAGCCUUCAGGACAGUUUCCCAGCAGCAGCGAGGCGCCUGUGUCUUCAGAAGACUAUAACAUUGAUGGCAGGCGUAACACAACAUCAGAAGAAAGCUCAGCCGGCCAGUCCAUGUCUCACUUCUUUUUCCUCCAUCUCUGAAGAAGGCUGGGAGGGAAAAGUGGGACAACUCCUUCCCUUAAAACUGGGUACUGCCAGGAAGUGUUCAAGUUUAUGAGAGAAGACCAGCUGGUGGGACUCAAGCCCAAAUCGUGGAAACCAAAGACUGUCCACACGCUCAUCCAAGCAAAAGGAUUGGAAUCUAUUCAAGGGCUCCUUACACAGCUGAGACUGUUAAAAUCUGUGGCUUUUUGCAGGCUUAUUAACAGGCGCAAAGACCCAUCAUGGAUAACUAUUUAGGAGGGCCUGUCACUGAGAACUUUUUAUGCAUGCCCCUGAACUUUGCAACACCAGGUACUGCCGAGGUGCCCACUCAUUGAGGAAACAACUUUGCCGUUUUUGACAGUGCCUGUUUGCCUAUGCCCUGUUGGAUGUCCUGGAAUAUGGAAUAACUCAGAGACCAGCUGUAGCCUAUCACAUUACUUUGGCUGGACCGCAGCUUGCUCACACACUUUUCAUUUACAGACAGUCUGGAUGUUUAGGAAGAAGAGUACUGAUAUCCGUCUCCUUCGCCCCUGUGUAUCUGUCCUUCAAUAAAGCUUCAGGCCUGCGAUUA